AACGGAGGGUGCAAGCGUUGUUCGGAAUUACUGGGCGUAAAGCGCUCGUAGGCUGGACAGGAAGUUGGGUGUGAAAGCCCUCGGCUCAACCGAGGAAUUGCGCCCAAAACCACUGUCCUUGAGAAUCGGAGAGGAUCGGGGAAUUCCCAGUGUAGAGUUGAAAUUCGUAGAUAUUGGGAGGAACACCGGUUGCGAAGGCGCUGAUCUGGACGAUCUCUGACGCUGAGGAGCGAAAGCAUGGGUAGCAAACAGG
rnacentral:rRNA from 1 species